UACGGGGGGGGCAAGCGUUGUUCGGAAUCACUGGGCGUAAAGCGUGCGUAGGCUGCUCGGAAAGUUGGGAGUGAAAGCCCAGGGCUCAACCCUGGAAUUGCUCUCAAAACUACCGAGCUCGGAUUCGGGAGAGGAUAGCGGAAUUGUCAGUGUAGCAGUGAAAUGCGUAGAUAUUGACAGGAACACCAGUGGCGCAAGCGGCUAUCUGGACCGACAUCGACGCUGAGGCACGAAAGCGUGGGGAUCAAACAGG
rnacentral:rRNA from 1 species